UACGGGGGGGUAAGCGUUGUUCGGAAUUACUGGGCGUAAAGGGCUCGUAGGCGGCCAACUAAGUCAGACGUGAAAUCCCUCGGCUUAACCGGGGAACUGCGUCUGAUACUGGAUGGCUUGAGUUCGGGAGAGGGAUGCGGAAUUCCAGGUGUAGCGGUGAAAUGCGUAGAUAUCUGGAGGAACACCGGUGGCGAAGGCGGCAUCCUGGACCGACACUGACGCUGAGGAGCGAAAGCCAGGGGAGCAAAGCGGG
rnacentral:rRNA from 1 species